UCUACGGCUUUUGAAAAGGAUUUUGGUAGAGGAUUUUCACCAGCGCAUGGCUGAUACCUAUUUAGGAGGCAUACAACUUCAAAUGGCGAAAGUAAAUUACAAACAGAGAGAAUAACAUCCAAAUCGUUUGCAUCGUUUUUACGAAGGCAAAAUACCAAAGGAGACUGCAUUAAAGGCAAUAGUGACGAGUUAACAUAACUAAUACCCUUUUGAUGACACCAGUUAAUCAACAGCGAGGCAUUAUAGGAAACCUGAGAAGCAGAUUUCCAAGUGUACGGUGACCGGCUAGAAUGUUAGUGAUAGUUUUUUUGAUAGCUGCCUUACCCAUGAAUUAAUGUUUGAAAGGCACGUUGUCCUAUAUGUUGAAGCAUGUGAGAUAUAGUCAAUUCCAAUAAAUUUGGUUGCAAGGCAGAAGAUAUUAAUAAUUUGUGUAUUAAAUUCAUUCUGUCUAUCAACUCAUAAAUAUUCAUUCCAGUAGGUGUUGUGUUCUCAUCAGCCGCAUCGAUAAACUCUGGUAAACAUUUUGAAUUUAAAAGAGCAUUAAUCGAUCCCUCGGUACAACAACUUAAUAGUUUCUGGA